AUUGAACGCUGGCGGAAUGCUUUACACAUGCAAGUCGAGCGGCAGCGCGGCCUUCGGGCUGGCGGCGAGCGGCGAACGGGUGAGUAAUGCAUCGGAACAUGCCCAGUCGUGGGGGAUAACACUUCGAAAGAAGUGCUAAUACCGCAUACGUCCUGAGGGGGAAAGCGGGGGAUCGCAAGACCUCGCGCGAUUGGAGUGGCCGAUGUCAGAUUAGCUAGUUGGUGGGGUAAAGGCCUACCAAGGCGACGAUCUGUAGCUGGUCUGAGAGGAUGAUCAGCCACACUGGGAAUGAGACACGGCCCAGACUCCUACGGGAGGCAGCAGUGGGGAAUUUUGGACAAUGGGGGCAACCCUGAUCCAGCCAUUCCGCGUGAGUGAAGAAGGCCUUCGGGUUGUAAAGCUCUUUCGGCAGGAACGAAACGGUGGGCUCUAACAUAGUCCGCUAAUAACGGUACCUGAAGAAGAAGCACCGGCUAACUACGUG
rnacentral:rRNA from 1 species